UCGGUGUGGGAACCAAAAAUUGAGUUCCACUUUGCGUCGUUGACAUAACCAAACCAAAAUCGAGUUGCUUAACAAAAAACAGUGAGACACAACAAAUUUUCUUUAUCCUUCUGCGCUAAAUCAAACCCUAGGCUUCUCAUCGAAUCAAAAGAAAAGUCAAUCAAAUUCGAAUCCAAUUGAUUAAAUACCCAUCGUCUGAUUGAUUUGUCUUUGUUUCUUUAACUCAUUAAAUUCAGAGAAACUUGAAGAGAAGUAAUAACGAUGAAGGAGAUUUAUUUCUGACCAAAUUCGUUUUCAACUCAGUCAUAUCGUUUCUGGUUCUUUAACCAAAUUAUGAUAUUUACGAAAUUCGUGAAUAAAUGGAUCAAAAGAAAACUUUCGCCUGUGAAGGGAGGAACUCCCUUGUUCUACCAAGUGAGGCGUCCACAUCGAAGAAAAAAUACCAUGUCGUAGAAGAUGAUGAAUAUUGCAUUACCAGAAGUGGGGAUGAAAAUACCAACUCUUGGUAACUUGGUAGCAGCCCUAGUGAAGCCGAUGCCGAAGCCAUUAUAAAUAAUAGAAAAAAAGAAUAAAGGAACAUCUCAGGAGGAAUAUGACUUAGACAAAGUUCUAGCCGAGCACGAUAAUGCUCCCAUUGUUUCAAAACUUACUGCUUCUCCGACAGAAGAAAAGGUUCAAGAUCAACCUGAACAGUUAGUCUCGGUUGAUGCUACUGGAUGGGAGAAGGAAGCGGAGGCAGAAACCGGGAAGUCUGUGGCAGCAAAGAAGAACAAAAAGGAGAAGGAGAAAAAGGCAGCUGCUGCAGCUGUAGAGGGAGUUCAGGAUGCAACGCAGGAGGAAACAAAGAGUCAAAAACGUGAUGACAAGCACCCUAAUCAUGUUAUAAAAAUGCAGGAGGCUUUGCAAAGGCGUAAAGAACUUGAAGAGAGAAGGAGGAGGGAAGAGGAAGAGAAAGAAAGGAAGGAGGAAGAAAGCCACCUCAGGCAAGAGGAACUCGAAAAACAAGCAGAAAAAGCCAAGCGAAGGAAAAAGAAAAAGAGAGGAUGCUGAUGAGAAAGAAGGAAGGGAAGCCUAUAACAAGGAAGCAGAAAAAUGAAGCUUGUCGGCUUGAACUAAUUUAGGUUUUAGAAAAUCCCCCAUUCUGAUCUGAAUGGUAGUUUUGAAAUCAGUGACUUGGUGCUUGAUAUUUGAUACAUUGAGUUUCUUUAAUGCCAAGCAACUUUGACUUCUUGACUAGCAUACGAGCAAUAUUUAGUGUAUGCUGAAUCCACAUGAGUCAAACAUGGAGUUUGGUGAGUAAAAGGCAUUAUUUAGGUCACACUUCACAAUAACCUUUUGUAUUUUCUUAGUUUUGUGUUAUUAUACUAAUUGUUGAACCCAAGUUGUCUGUUCAUUUUGAAAGGGUCUGUGUCUGUUCAUUUUUCUGCAUGUUCUGCAACUGCUGGAGAAACUAAAUAAUUUUUUCUAUGGUUGGUUAAUUUUAGUUAGGAGCUGGGCAGACAUGCUUGUCACUGGAGAAACUGAGGCUCGAUUGCCACUGUAGUGUAUCAUUUGCUGAUCUAGUUGAUGUGAGGCAUGCUCUUGCAAUGAUUUUUGAGUUGGCAUCUAAAUAUCCUUAUUCUAGAUCGCAUGCAUUAGAGGUUCUACUUCGAUUGACGUGCCUGCAGAAGAUAUGAUUUUUAGUGAUUCUGCUAAGGGUUAAACCCCCAAGGAAGCUAAACAGGAAGGGCUCUCGACUUGGACAUGAUAGCAUAGUUGAUGGAGUGCUUAAAGAUGGCCUGUGCGAUGUUUAUAAUGAGUUUGGCGUGGGUGUUUGUGAUGAGAUAUGUGCCAAUCAUCAUUCAAUAACCAGAGCAGAACAUGUAUUAUUCUAAAGUCAAUAUGUAUUGAGAAUUUCUCUGAUUUGGUUUCUUCUGGGCUAUGGUUGAUCCUUCCUGUACGGUUAUAUAUUGUCAACUAUUGUCGCCAUCAUUAAAAAUAUAAUUUUGUGA